rnacentral:rRNA from 1 species
GAUGAACGCUAGCGGCAGGCCUAACACAUGCAAGUCGAGGGGUAACUAGAGUGAUAGCAAUAUUACUUUGGCUAGACCGGCGCACGGGUGCGUAACACGUAUGCAACCUACCUUAUACUGGGGAAUAACUUCGAGAAAUCGGCGCUAAUACCCCAUAACAUUGCGAAGAGGCAUCUCUUUGCAAUUAAAGCUCCGGCGGUAUAAGAUGGGCAUGCGUCCAAUUAGCUAGUUGGUGAGGUAACGGCUCACCAAGGCUACGAUUGGUAGGGGUUCUGAGAGGAUGAUCCCCCUCACUGGUACUGAGACACGGACCAGACUCCUACGGGAGGCAGCAGUGAGGAAUAUUGCGCAAUGGACGAAAGUCUGACGCAGCCAUGCCGCGUGCAGGAUGACGGCCCUAUGGGUUGUAAACUGCUUUUGUACGGGAAUAAACCCUUCUACGUGUAGGAGGCUGAAGGUACCGUAAGAAUAAGCACCGGCUAACUCCGUGCCAGCCGCCGCUGUAAUAC